UUGUUGUUUCACAUGCAGGGCGAUGCAUAAAUGUCUGCACCAUCCAUCCGAUGGACAUGAAGCCCGAUGUUUCAUCUGUCGACACUGAGGGCGUGAAAGGUCCUGUGGUGUCUUUUGCAAAAAGUAGGUUCAUCGGCGAUACGUUUUUCAGUUCUCGUGAUGCUACAAUCCAAUGAGCACCAUUACGCACGUAUUCGAGGCCACGGACAUAGUCGGGGGUGAGAUCACAUCAGGGCCGACUCCGCCCAGCAAGACGGAAUGUUCCCCUCGUCCAAUCGGGGGUGAGAUCACCUCAGGGCCGACUCCGCCCAGCAAGACGGAAUGUUCCCCUCGUCCAAUCGGGGGUGAGAUCACCUCAGAGCCAACCCCGCCCCAGCCAGAUGGAAUGUCCACCUCGUCCAAUGAGGGGAGGACACCGAUCGCCCGACGCCCUCCGACCAACCCAGAGGCGAGUUACUUCAGAGCAGAUCCCUCCACCCGUCCGGGGGGAGGGAUAAGAAAGGUGGUGAGCUGUCUCAGCGGGGUCUGGUCUUUGGUUUCUUGUCUUGGUCUUUUUCGGGGUUCCUUGGUGGUCGUGGUCGUGGUGGAGGUGUUUCGUGGUGCUCGUGUCGUCGAUCGUCGUUCGUCGCAGCCAGGAUCAUGGACUCGUUGGAUUCUGGGUCAUGGGUUCGAGUCUCACCGUGGUGGGUUGGAGUCGGUAAAACCACACAAGGUGGCCAGGUACCCGGCCAGACUCUGACCCUUUAGCUUGCCUUCCAUCCCGAGCUGAAGGGUCGAAUAAAGACCCACGAGGUCCAUUUCUUUUUUGGGUGUGUGUGUCUGUCUGUAGCCAUUCUGAUAAGUAGAAAUAGUUUACGUGAUUCCAUUGAACAUUUGCCUGCAUUCUUAUUCAUGGUUAAGUCUGCUCUGUGUUUCCCUCCCUCUUACAUUGUAAUAUAAAUAAAUAACUGUUAAAUGUUCCAGUUCGUUGUCUGUGCUUUCUUUCAUUGACCCAGCAUGGGUCGGGCUUGAAAAUUAGGGAGGCUGGUUGUGCCAUAAAUUGUCAUUUGGG
rnacentral:lncRNA from 1 species